rnacentral:rRNA from 1 species
CCUGGUGACUAUACCGGCAGUGAAACGCCUGAUCCCAUUCCGAACUCAGAAGCUAAGCCUGUCGGGCCGAUGGUAGUCUUAACGGCGAGAGUAGGUCAUCGCCAGGA